CAUAGUUAUCCUUUGUCUUGCUUUGGUAGUGGUUCAUACCACAGCAGCAAGAGAAAUGCCAAGUGACAAUGGUCUUUCUGACCAAAAGAAUGUUUUUGGAGGCGCUGGAGGCAUCGCUGGCAUUGGCAGCAAUGGCUUGCCUUUUGGUGGAGUCGUUAGCGGAGUAGGUGGCAAUGUUGGUGGAUUUGGUGCUGGAAUUGGUGGUGGAGCUGGAUUUGGUGGAGGAAUUGGGGGUGGUGGACUAGGUGGAGUAGGUAGUAUUGGUGGCGAUGCUGGUGCUGGUGCAGGAAGUCUUCCACUUCCAUGAAGUUAUUCAUCACUUUCAUGUAACUAAUUUUUAUUCUCAUCUUUAUUAGUUAAGUUUGUUUCAUGCAUGUUUGAUUAUGGUCAAGAUUGCUAGCUAACUAGUGUGAGAAAAGAGUGAUUUUUUUUUUUCAUUUUUUGGUUGUUGUUGUUGUUUGGUUUUAUCCAUAUUGUAAUGUUACAUGCAUGAUUUUUUUCCGUGUUCAAUGAAAGUAAGUUGUUGCACUUUUUUAAACUUCUUUUAAAGUCAGGUGUUCAACGUUCCACGCUUCUUUUCUCUCACUUUAUUUCUUUUAUUUACAUUGAUAUGGUUGAUCCAAGCGGCUGAAUCUUUAUGUAAAAAAUUCUUAUGGUUUGGUGGAGCUGACACCACAAAUACAGUAUUAAUAAUAUAUGAAAGAAAUCAUGUAGUCUAAAAAUACCUAGUGGCUUGGGUUUCCAGCUGGACAUAACUAAAUUAUUUUUAAUACAAUAAUAUAUUUUAACAUAUAUCGUUAAUAAGAAGAAAAAAAAUCGUAAUAUAUUUCAAUUCAAUAUAUAAUAUAUAUAUUAUAGGUAUGUUUCAAUCGUAAAUAACCACUAUAAUAAACUUAAUUAUGUUCCAUAGCUAUAGUUUGCAUAUUUACGAGUUGUAGCUACAGUUUAAGUUGUCUCGUUUGUAUAAUUCACGUGUUUGUAUAAUUCGUGGGUUUGUAUAUAUAAUAUGCGGGUACGUUUGUAUAAUUGAACUAUUUUUGUAUAAACUCGAAAUAACGAAUUUAUACAAACACAUACAUCUGAACUUUAAACAGUUAUACAAACUAUAUUAUACAAAAUUACAUUAUCCAAAAGUUAUAUAAAUUAUAUUAUACAAAUUUUGAAUUAUACAAACUCGAAACUCCAACCCACGUAAUUAUCACUGAAUGUUGGUCGCGAGUAAUAAUUAACUAAAACUAUAGCUAUGAUGACUAAUUAACUAACAUAUGUUUAUUAACCAUGUAAUUUUAUAUAACUAAAAUAUUUUUAAUACAAAUGUAUUAUAUCAUUAGUGUGUAUAUAUAUAUACCCUAAUGGUAUCAAUGAGUAAAUUAUUAGUUUUUUCACUGAAUCACUCUUUGAUUCCACCAUAGUAUAUAUAUACUCUAAGGACUCGUUUGGUGUAAGGGAUAAUACCAAAUAGUCCCGGGAUUAAAUUAUAGUACCGCUUAUUUUGUUGUUUGGUUGGCAAGUUCGGGAUAACUUAUCCCGGGAUUAAUAAUUAGUACCGGGAUAAGUUAUCCCUCUCCUUGGGUGGUAUAGUAAUCCCGGGAUAACUUAUCCCGGGAUAAAAUAGGUAAAUGACAAAAAUGUCUCUUUCAACCCUUUUGUUGUAUCACUUUUUACCUUAAUGAAGGGGCAUUUUUGUAAAUAAAUAAAUUGUUCUUAAAAUUUAUUAUUUUGAAUAUAACAAACCAAACACUCAAUAAAAAAUAAUCCCCAACACAACUUAUCCCCAUCAUAACUAAUCCCAACAUAACUUAUCCCAACAUAACUUAUCCCAUCAUAACUCAUUUUCAAACCAAACGACCCCUAAUAGUAUUAAGAAGCAAUUUAGUAGUUUUUCACUGGAGUGACUUUUUCUUCAUUGAUACCAUCAGAGUGUGUAUAAUAUAUAUAUAUAUACACUCUGAUGUUAUCAAGGAGUAAAACGGUAUUUGGAUUGACUUAAAAGUUGACCAAACCUAAACCCUAAACUUUGGUCAAACCUACUUUUAAGUUAAUUUUUUACUUCUAGAAAUGUUUGGCAAAUAUAAAAAUAACUUAAAAUAAAUAAAAAACAACUGAAAAUAAGUUAGGAACUAUUUGACAAGGUUACAAAUAAUUUAAUAUAAGUUAAAGACCAGAAGUAGGUCUCUCAUACUUUUUAUUUUUUGACUUAAAAGUCAUUUAAGUUUAACUUUUUAUUUUUGACUCAAAAACUACUUUUUAAGUCAAUCCAAACAGGCUCUAACUUAGUAGUGUUAUCACUGAAGUGACUUUUUCUUUCUUGAUACCACCAGAGUGUAUAUAUAUAUAUAUACUCCACUGAUAUCAAAUAUUAAAUGACUAUUAAAGCAAAAGUUAUGUCAUAAAUGAUAAUAAAUAUAAAGUAAUAUUUAAAAGAUAAUUAAUCAAAUAAAAUAUUUAAUUUAAAUAAAAUUUUGAAAGUUAAUUAUAUUCUUAAAGGGAUAAGGCAUUAGUACCCUCUCUAGACUAUAACCGAAAUCCCAGAGACACACCUUAACUAAACUAAGGUCCUAUUAACCCCCUAAACUUAUUAUUUUAAAUAAUUUUGUACACCUUUCUGGCCUACGUGGCCUCCAAAUAUCUCUCACGCGCCUCACUUAAGUGGAGUCACGGAGUGUGCCACAUAAGCCAAAAGGUAUACAAAAUUACACAAAAAAUGAGAUUAGGGGGUAGUAGGACCUUAAAUUAAUUAAGAUGUGUCUCUGGGAUUUCGGUCAUAGUCUAGGGGGUACUUGUGCCUUAUCCCUAUUCUUAAAUGAACACCAAAAAUCUUAAUCCAAUCUUACCAAAUCAUGAAUUGGACCGGAUUGGCCCAAUGAAUCUAGCUCAUAUUAACGAUUCUAUGCAUAAUUUUCUGCGACAACCAAACCAAGCGUAAUAAUAUCAAUGAGGUGGUUGGUGUCUUAUAUAUCCAUCAAUUGAAACAUUAACUGAAUCAUAUGAUAGGCUACGAUCCAAACCAACCAGCAGCAGUGGAAUAUACAAUACUAGCAACAGUAUACAUAAAAUUCAUAUUUAUAUAUAUAGUUAUUUUUUUUAUUUUCCUACUCAAUAUUUGAUACUUAUAUUGAAAUAUAAUUAAAUUAAUACAUAUGUUUAAUAUGUUUCGCUAAAAUUUUGGCUUUGUACAUACGUAUGAAUAUGCUAGGUCGUUAGAUUUAUGAAAAAAAAUUAACUUCAGAGGAGUCUCGCUUUUGGUAGGUACCCACCAAAUAAUCAAACGUUCAGUUUGAUUUAGGGAUAGAUGUUCGGUUCUUUAGUUCGUUUUUAUUAAAUUAUGGUUCGUCUUUGAUUUUCGAUUUUAUAAAAGUGUGUAUCAAAUAUCGAAUCGAACUAAUUCGGUUUGGUUCGACUUUUAUCAACAUUAGUUUGAUUUGGUAUUUUGAAAACGGGUUUUCAGAGCGAAUAAAAAUAAUUAACUAUGUUAAGUGAUGAUGAUGUGUCUCACCAUGAAAUACUUAUUGUGCUUAAAAAAAUCAUAUUUGUCUUUCUCAAGAACAUUGUACCACCAACUAUUGCUCGAGGAAUACAAGGAUGAAGACAAAUUCCUUUACAUGUACAUCGACAAAAAUACGUUCGACCGGCUCCUCUUGGAAAUUAAUAUUCAAAGUUAACUAUCUUGAUUGUAAAUCUGUUGCUACGUACUUUGAUUUGUUCAUAAAUGGUUUAAUUGCUAAUUGAUAUAUAUAUAUAUAUAUAUAUAUAAUAUUUCUAUUUUUUUUAAAAAAAAGAUUAAUAAAAAUUUGAUUCUUCAAUGCACCGAAAUUCCAAAACUCUUAUAUCGAAUUGAAGAACUGAUUUUUUUUUUAAAAUACCAAUAUCAAACCAAAAAAUUAAAACUUCAAAUUAAUUCGAAUCGAUUAAAUUUUUCGAUAUUGAGAUCCACCGUUUGGUGUGUAGUUGGGGCAUGAUAAAUAGGAAGAGUUAUAAUUUGCAUAGGAUUCAUGUUGCACAAGAAGGGAGGAAUUAAGUGGAUGCGAUAUCUUAACUAACAGCCAGCAACUUACUGACAAAAGCAUUUACUACUAGCUUUUGAAGGUCUUUAGUUAGAGAAAGCAUUAGCUGUCAUUUUUAUUUCUUUGAUCUCUGUAGAAGAAGAAAAUGUCAUCGGAGUUCAACUGUUUCCAUCUGCCCAAUCAUAAAUUUCAAAUGUUUAAAUGCCUUUUAAAUCGUUUUUAUGGAGUUAGUUUGACAAAUCAAAAGCUCCCACUCUCUAUAAAGGACAGUAAAUGAAUUAAGGGGUCGUUUUACAUACUGUUGCGUACAUAUAGUGUUUUAGUAAUGCUGGUAUUAGUUACGUUACCUUUAUAUUAGUUAUUUUGAAAUUAUUUCUUACAUAAUGUUCUAUUGCAUAAGCAAUUAAUUUGAUGAGACGUUUGUUAAAAAAAAUUGAGGUUUAUAAGAAACAAUUUUAAUAACCUCUUUCGAUACAAGUUCUUUAAUUUUUACCCCUAUUGAUUUGUUGGAUGUGAAAAAAAUGUCAUUUUGACGUCGGAGACAUGAAAUAGAUGGUGGAAUCCUUUUGUGGAUCCGGAGGUAAAAUAAAUUGAGCCAAUUUUUGUGAUUAAUAACUGAUUUUACCAUUAUUUGUUUAAAAUUUUAUUUGGAAAAAAAUGAUGGAUGAAGAUAUGGAAUUUGAAGGAAUUGAAAAAUUGGAAAGUGAAGUUGAAGAAUAUAUUAAAGAAUUUUGAUGGAAAAGAGAAAAUGGAAAGAAAAGUAAAAAAUAAAAAAAUAAAAAAGAAAGAUGUGAGCCUAGUGGUUGAAAACAAAGAACAUUAGUUAAUUCUUUUAUCUAUCUUAACCUUGAUCGAUAAAGUUAUUCCAUAAAAUUAAUUGAUAUGUGCAAAAAUUAACCAGACACAUUAAAAAAAAAGUGGUGUGAGAUGAGGAAGUGGUUCCCACACUAUAAUGUCAGUAAUAAUUUCCUUAGACAAGUAUGAUUUGGCAUAUGCCUCACACACGUAAAAUAAAAUUAAAAAAUAGAAAUUAAUUAGUAUGAGUAAUUAACCAGACACAUUAAAAAAAAAGUGGUGUGAGAUGAGGAAGUGGUUCCCACACUAUAAUGUCAGUAAUAAUUUCCUUAGACAAGUAUGAUUUGGCAUAUGCCUCACACACGUAAAAUAAAAUUAAAAAAUAGAAAUUAAUUAGUAUGAGUAGGUUGCAGACAGAGGGUCCAUAGGCCGGUAGCUCAGUAAUAUCUAAUAGUAACCAAUUGAUCAUCUAUUUAACACAACACGUUCUUUUGGCCACCUAUACACCUUUCUGAAACAUGACUAAAAAAAUAAAUAGUUAAUGCUCAAAAGAAAGAAAACAUAUACAACCUCCCACCCUAAAUAAUUCCUUUAUAGCGUUUAAUUUGUUUCAAAGUAUUUUGGUGUUUUUAAAAAAUAUAUAUGAUAAUAUGAAGUUAUGAUGUUUUAAUUAAGUGAAAUUUUUAAGAGAGAAGCCUUAAUUAUAUUUAAAACGGUUAAAUGUGUUUCUUAAGGAAUAAGGGUGUCCAAAAGUUUAAAAGACAAAUACUCCCUCCAUCCCUAUUUAGUUGUCCACUUUAGAAAUGACACACAGAUUAAGGCAACAAUGAUUAGCAUAAUGAAGUUACAAUUUUACCCUUACAGUACAAUUUACAAUUCCAAAAUAAAUUCACUCAAGAUAACUAAUCAAUGUUGGGAAGUUCAUAAGUUUAUUUACUUUAUUUAUGAUAACUUUAUUUAAAUAAGGGUGUAAUAGGAAAAAAUUUGUUAUCCUUUCUUGAUUUGUCAAAAUUGACAACUAAAAGAGGAAAUAUGGACAAUUAAAUAGGAACGGAGGGAGUAGUAAGAACAAAGAGUGUGGUUAGAAUAGAAGAAAAUAUUUUUAAAAUAUUUCGCUAGUCAAAAUUUUAAAAAAAUAUUGUUUUAAGAAAAUAAAAUUUCUUAAAAUUAGAAAAAUAACUUUUAUGGUAGAAAUAGAAAACAAAUUUCACACAGUCCUCGAUCUCAUGCGCACGGAACCAAAUUUUUGACUAAAAGGUGUUUAAACAUAAAUAAGUAAAAUUGUGUAGAAGUCAAGUAGUGUCAAUAUGUAAUAUAUAGACAUAAAUAAAAAUAUAUUUACCUAACUACAUGACAGUGUAAUUUUUCAAUGAAUGAGGAUGUUGAUGAAUACCCCUCAAGUUUACAUGGCUCCACCAUUGCUCCCGCUAUCACCCCAAACCCAUCUAGAUAAUAAUUUAUCUAAAUUAUAUAUAUAUACUUUUGGAAUAAUGUUCUCUUCCUCUAACCAUCAAACAUAAAAAAAAAAAAAAAAAAAAAAAAAAAGAGUUAUUUUCAACAAAAUAAAUAAAGGAGGGAAAACAUAUUUUUUCAUUGGCAAACCAACCAAAGGGUUUCUCCAAAAAAUAAAUAAAGGAGAGAGACAUUGAAUGUUUCUAUUCAUUCCUCCACCAACCCAUUUUUUGCCUAUAAAAAGAGACUCAAGGAAAUACCACUUCAUCACUACUCAUCACUCAUCAGGUGUAAAGGCAUAUAUAGGAUAAAGAAAAAAAAAGAGAGAAUAGGAAGUGAUGGCAAACAAGUUGUCCAUAGUUAUCCUUUGCCUUGCUUUGGUAGUGGUACAUAUCACAGCAUCAAGAGACAUGCCAAGUGACAAUGGUCUUUCUGACCAAAAGAAUGUUUUGUAGGCGCUGGAGGUAUCGGUGGCAUUGGAAGCAAUGGACUGCCUUUUGGUGGAGUUGUUAGCGGAGUAGGUGGCAAUGUUGGUGGAUUUGGUGCUGGAAUUGGUGGUGGAGCUGGGUUUGGUGGAGGAAUUGGGGGUGGUGGACUAGGUGGAGUAGGAGGACUAGGUGGUAUAGGUGGAGUUGGUGGAGUAGGUGGUAUUGGUGGCGGUGCUGGUGGUGGUGCAGGAAGUCUUCCACUUCCAUGAAGAUUAUAUUAAUAUUAGUUCAAGUUUAAUUUGUCAUGUCAUGCAUAUUGUUUGGUUAGUAUUAUGGCUAGUGUGAGAAAAGAGUGAUUUUUUUUUUCUUUUUGUUGUUGUUGGUGUUUGGUUUCAUUCAUAGUGUUAUGUUAUGUGAUUUUUCACGUGUUUAAUGUAAUGUAAUUUGUUGCACUUCUUUCUUUUUAAGUCGGGUGUUCAAAGUUCACUGCUUUUUUUCUCUCA
rnacentral:lncRNA from 1 species